rnacentral:tRNA from 1 species
GGGCCAGUAGCUCAGCUUGGAUAGAGCGACAGCCUUCUAAGCUGAAGGUCGGGGGUUCAAAUCCUCCCUGGCCCG